rnacentral:rRNA from 1 species
UAUACAUGCAAGUCGAACGAACUUCCGUUAAUUGAUUAUGACGUACUUGUACUGAUUGAGAUUUUAACACGAAGUGAGUGGCGAACGGGUGAGUAACACGUGGGUAACCUGCCCAGAAGUAGGGGAUAACACCUGGAAACAGAUGCUAAUACCGUAUAACAGAGAAAACCGCAUGGUUUUCUUUUAAAAGAUGGCUCUGCUAUCACUUCUGGAUGGACCCGCGGCGUAUUAGCUAGUUGGUGAGGUAAAGGCUCACCAAGGCAGUGAUACGUAGCCGACCUGAGAGGGUAAUCGGCCACAUUGGGACUGAGACACGGCCCAGACUCCUACGGGAGGCAGCAGUAGGGAAUCUUCCACAAUGGACGCAAGUCUGAUGGAGCAACGCCGCGUGAGUGAAGAAGGGUUUCGGCUCGUAAAGCUCUGUUGUUAAAGAAGAACGUGGGUAAGAGUAACUGUUUACCCAGUGACGGUAUUUAACCAGAAAGCCACGGCUAACUACGUGCCAGCAGCCGCGGUAAUACGUAGGUGGCAAGCGUUAUCCGGAUUUAUUGGGCGUAAAGCGAGCGCAGGCGGUCUUUUAAGUCUAAUGUGAAAGCCUUCGGCUCAACCGAAGAAGUGCAUUGGAAACUGGGAGACUUGAGUGCAGAAGAGGACAGUGGAACUCCAUGUGUAGCGGUGAAAUGCGUAGAUAUAUGGAAGAACACCAGUGGCGAAGGCGGCUGUCUGGUCUGCAACUGACGCUGAGGCUCGAAAGCAUGGGUAGCGAACAGGAUUAGAUACCCUGGUAGUCCAUGCCGUAAACGAUGAUUACUAAGUGUUGGAGGGUUUCCGCUCUUCAGUGCUGCAGCUAACGCAUUAAGUAAUCCGCCUGGGGAGUACGACCGCAAGGUUGAAACUCAAAAGAAUUGACGGGGGCCCGCACAAGCGGUGAA